GUGAUAGGUUCGCGCCCCUGCGACCUCGGGGCCCUGGGCUGAGUGUGGGCGACGGGCCGGGGGCGACAGCCAGUGAUACUGUCAUUGAGUCGGUGGGUCAGGUUCAGCGGCCGCUUGCUGAGUGUCUAGUACGUGCGAGGCGCCCUUGGGGUGCAUGGUCAUUCUCCCGAGGGCUGUGAGUAGGUACUACGAUUGUCUUCAUUAUAUCGCGAGAAAGCAACAACAGAAAGGCUCGUAGCCUGUCCAGAGUCACACGGCUAGAAAACCCCGGGAGAUCCUUCUAGCACCUAUGCGUUUCUAACGAACGUUCCCGAAAUGUAUCAACUUUGUGCUUGCUGUGUGCCUGCCCUGCUAGAACACAGCUCCGCCGGGUCGGGGAACUCUGAUUACUUUGUUCACUGAUGUACCUGCAACACGUUGGACAGGCCCACAGUAGGCACUCAACUUUUUCACUGAAUGAAUCAAAGCGACAGAGCGGGCAAUCAGUUCGAGUCCACAGCUAGGACCCUUAUGGGAUGACGCAGUGCUUAGCUCCUUGUCUGGCGACAGUUAGGCUGCUACUAAGCGUUUACUCUUAACACUGAACCGAGGCCUUGCGGCUGCUUCCAUAAAGUAUUCCAUCUGGGUUUUCCUCACUUUCACUGCCUCAGAGAGGUUGCUCACUGCAUCUCCUGUGCGGUCAUUGUUUCCAGGGUCAGGGCGCAUCAGUGAGACCACUGCUCACCUCCUGCGGGCUCCGGCUCGGCCGCCCCUGGGCUUCCUAGUCUACAGAAGAGCCAGUCGAGGCCUCAGAAGAUGUCCGUGUGGAGUGCAUGCCUGCCUGUGGCACAGGACUUGGGUUCUCAUUUCCUAACUCAGGCAAGUUGAAGACCAGCUAGACCACCCCAGGGAAAGCCAAGACCAACCUGUGUGGCAGACUGCAUCCGCAGACAGGGAAGCACAGAAAGAUCCAAGCGGCCAAGAAUUCACAACAUUCAGAAAAAUCAUUUAUCCAAGCACAGACUUUGUUUCUAUAAGACAAAGAGUCUCUAAAUAUUACUCGUGGGGAAGGUGUUCAAAGUGUAAUUUAAACUUCUCUAUGUAAGUAAAGACUCUUUAGUUUUUUUUUUUAAUGUUUAUUUUUGAGACAGACAGAGUGCAAGUGGGGGAGGGGCAGAGAGAGAGGGAGACACAGAAUCUGAAACAGGCUCCAGGCUCUGAGCUGUCAACACAGAGCCUGAUGUGGGGCUCAAACCCACAAACCGCGAGAUCAUGACCUGAGCCGAAGUCAGACACUUAAGCAACUGAGCCACCCAGGCGCCCCAAGGCUCUUUAGUUUUAUAAAAAUAUUACAUUAAUGGAUUUUUCUGCUUUUUGGCAACAAUUUUAAGGAGGAUAAUGACAGUCCCACAUCCCCCAACUAAACAGCUAUCCUGAUGUUUUAUAGCUGAAGAAACCAUCAUAAGGAGUGUGUUUAUUUUCUUAAAGUUUUGAUUUAUUCAUUUUGAGAGAGAGAGAGAAUCCCAAGUAGGCUCUGUGCUGUCAGUGCAGAGCCUGAUGCGGAUCUCGAACCUACGAACUGCAAGAUCGUGACUUGAGCUGAAACCAAGAGUCAGACGCUCAACGACUGAGCCGUCCAGGUGCCCCAGGACUGUGUUUAGGACUCAGAGAUAGUAAGUGACAUAGCGAGCAUUAGCCAUCUCCUCUAACUGACAUUCAGUGCCCUUCAUCCCUCCAGACCUCACCCAGUGGAAGCAAGGUGAGGACAUCCUGCGUGGUUAUUUACUAUCUCCGUUUUGUGCUGGGUUGAAACGUUUAGGAGAAAGCAAAAAGCAGACUCGCAUUCCCACGUAUACUACAGUUGGUCUUGCCAGGCCAGCAGUCUUGCUGGAACGGCUAGGGGGGAGGGAGGGGAAACUGCAAAGAAAAAUGCCUUUGGGCAAUCGCAGAGCCGUGGUAACAACGAGGACUCGAGGAAUGAAAAUUCUAGAGAGUGAAGUGCCUUUUCCAGGUGAGCGGAUGAUCGCUGUCCGUUAUCUGGAGGCAUCUGCUGAAUCUGGGGGCAAGCGGAGGAUGGGGCUCGGCCCGGGGUUAAGGACUUUCAGGAGGGGCGGGUAGAGAUCCAGAAGAGCUUGUAGAGGUUAUAUAGGGCCAACUGGGAAACGAAAAGAGCUCCAGGAGCAUGACUGCCUUUGUCCAGGGGGUGCUUGCCGAGUUUGUGAUGGUGCAGGAGGUUAGCGGGCCCAGGCCAGAAACACAACGUGAGCCCUCUUGUGUCGCGUGCUUUGCAAACAGUCUGGACAGAGCACGAGGUCCGCACGAUCGUGGAGGAGGAGGCUGAAGAGCUCAGCUCAGUACCUAUGAAGGGGGAACUAAAUCUCCAGAAGUCUCACGUCUGAGGAGACAGAGAGCCAACAGGCUCUCUUGGGCAGAAGCGCAGCAGGGACAGCCUGAGGAACGGUGCUGGGGAGAGCUAGGUUAUCUUCACCCAGCAGUCUGACCCUGCUCUAUCGGAGGUGAUCGGUCCCAGGCCUCGUCUGCUGAAUGAGGAAAAGGCAAACCCAGGCACCUGUAACCUCCACGGUUUUUUAACAUACGCCGUCUGAUACAGAAGCUUACUAGACAUGAGAAAAGGCAGAGAGAUGCGGUUGUUGGGACAAAAUGAACAAUUGUGGUAGGCAUGCUUCUAAGGAUGACGCCCACGGACUCUCUUCCUUUUAUAAUCCGUGCCCCCCCCCCCCCAGCCCUUUGACUGGGUGAAACGUGUGAAUAUAAUGAUAGCUGUGGUUACGCUAUAUUCUAUGCCCAAAGGGGGAUUAUCUGGGUAGCCCUCAGCUUUUUUUUUUGUAUUUUUUUUAAAGUUUAUUUACUUUUGAGAGAGAAAGCGAGCGAGCAGGGGAGGAGCAGAGAGGGACAGAGAGGAUACCAAGCAGGCUGUGUACUGUCCGUGCAGAGACCGACACGGGGCUCAAACUCACGAACCGUGAGAUCGUGACUUGAGCCGAAACCGAGAGCCAGGACUUAACCGACCGAGCCACCCAGGUGCCCUGCCUCAUCUUUUCAUAGGAGCUUUUUAAAGGCCGUUUUGUCCAGCUGGGUGGCAAAAGAGGAAGUCAGAGAUUCGAAGGUGUGGAAGGGAUCCAACACGAGAGGGAUUCUCUGUUGCUGAUGUGGGGAAGGAUCCGUGAGCCUCAUCCAGGAUCUGAGAGCGGCAGCCAGCCAGAAAAUGAGGACCUCAGUCCUUCGGCCACAGGAACUGAAUUCGGCCAAUGACCUGAAUGAACUUAGAAGUAGAUGCUUCCCCACAGCCUCCAGCUAAGACCCAGCCCAGACUAUACCUUGAUUCCCACUUUGUGAGACAGAGAGUAGCCAAGCCCGCCAGGAUUUCUGACCUACAGAACUAUGUAAACGGGUGGUGUUCUAAGCCACUGUUUGUGGGAAUUUGUUUCAGCUGCAGUAGAGAACUAACACAAAAAAACCCACACGAGUUUGAUGCUGGAAUCCACAAAAGGCACUUUUCAGUAUCCAUUAAUAUAACAGAAAUAAAGGAAAAGACAAACGGGGUGAAAGUUGCUGGAAUCUCUAAAAAUGGGUAAAAUAUGUAUGCUAUAACUGAAAACAAAUACAGUAACCAAGAACUCCUUGUGUAUGGGUUUUAACAGUGGAUUAGACAUAGCAGAAGACGGGAUUCGUGACUUUGAGGACAACAAGCUUGUCCCAAAGCGAGGGGGCGAAAUGCAGAACACCAGAAGCAAACUUCGAGAGGCAUUUGGGAAACAGCCAAAAGGUAAAUAAAGCACGUAUGUUGAAAGAGAUCUAAGCCAGGGAGCCAAGAAGCUCUGCGAAUCCCAAGCAGGAGUGAUAAACUCCUACCAUUCCAUUUCCAGCCGUGAUGGAGGAGCCAGGACUAAACUUCUCCCCCCCCCCACAGUAAACAACUAGAUGGCACCGAUACGGUCCAUGAGGUUAGCAGUGUUCAUACAGUGGACAGAGGCCAUGCGGGAUUGUGAAGCUGAGAGUGCAAAGGUAAAUGAGGUGGGCCCCUCACUCUGGCUCUCUGCUGGGAGGCACUUAGCAAGAUGUGAUGUAGGGAGGGGGGGAUCCCAAGAAGAGUUCAGCGGUUCAUGGGGUGGAGAAAGAGAUCAGUGCUCAGGACAGCCGAGGCUACUAGAAAUGUCAGGGCACAGUACUACAAAGGAAGGCGUUCUCGACAAGACAGAGCGACAGAAACGGGGAGGCCCCCCUCCCCGAGAAGAAUUCACCCAAAUCUGCAGGGGUUGCAGAAAAAGCCUGGCAAGGAUUUGGUGCGUGUUUUGGCUUGGCUUCUGGCCUCAAGAGGCUAUUAAAAGUUCAGUCUAGGAAAUCCUUAUGAAAAGUUCCAACAAAGCAGAUUUAUUUUUUUCUUUUAUUUCUUUUUUUUUUCUAGAGCGUGAGCAGCGGAGGGACAGAGAGCAUCUUAAGCAGGUUCCACUCUCAGCGCAGAGACCAACCUGGAGCCUGACCCAGGGCUCAACCCCGCGACCCUGGGACCAUGAGCUGAGACGAAACCAAGAGUCGGACUCUCAACCGACUGAGCCACCCAGGUGCCCACCAACAAAGCAGAUUUAAAAGAACCUAUAUGGCCAGUCACUGUUCUUGCUGAGCUUAUGUAAAUAAUUAGGCCAAGUUGUUAAAACUGGACUUAGUUUGGGGCACCUGGGUGGCUCAGUCAUUUGAGUGUCCCGACUCUUGAUUUCGGCUCAGGUCACAAUCUCAUGGUUGGGGAGUUAGAGCCCUGCGUCGGGCUCUGUGCUGACCGUGUGGAGCCUGCUUGAGAUUCUCUGUCUCCCUCAUUCUCUCUCAUAAAAUAAAUAAACAAAAAUAAAACUAGACUUAUUUAAAAAAAAUUUUUUUAACGUUUAUUUAUUUUUGAGACAGAGACAGAGCAUGAACGGGGGAGGGUCAGAGAGAGGGAGACACAGAAUCUGAAACAGGCUCCAGGCUCUGAGUGGUCAGCACAGAGCCCGACGCGGGGCUCAAACUCACGGACUGUGAGAUUGUGACCUGAGCCGAAGUUGGCCGCUUAACCGACUGAGCCACCCAGGCGCCCCCAGACUUAUUUUACAAACAAAUGGUAACUUGCCUAUCUUUGGCAAAAAUUAGGGCGCUUAUAGAAGAAAAACAUGUUUCAAUGACCUACCUGAGUAACUGUUAGGGUCUAAUACUGUUUAUUAUAAACUGGACUAGAGCCUGAUUUCUUCUGGUGCCUGACUACAACUCUCCAAACGCACAUUUCUUUAAUUUGGAUUCACUUGAAGACUAAAGCUGCCCCUUUUUCCUGAAGCCCUGCAAACUAAGUACGAACGACAUGAUGUAAACUUCCAAGAAAUCACCACCACAGCUCACGUGGAGGCAGUGUUCAUGCCCGUUGCUGUGUGAGCCAUUCAAAGAUGUCGAGAUAUUUGAACUGCAAACCAGGAGGGCCCGUCGGACUGCCACCACUGCCCCUGCUGUAUCUGAAGGAGCUUCGAGCCCGACAUCUCGAAAUCUUCUCUACUGGCCAUCCUCAGGACUCAGAGACUGAUUUAUAUUACGAUCUAAUCAUCGGCCAUGGGUGGUUCUUUGGUUUCCAUAGAAGGGCCUCGUGUUUGGGGCGCCUGGGUGGCUCAGUUGGUGGAAUAGGUCACUCUUGAUUUCGGGGUUAUGGGUUCAAGCCCCAAGCCUGGUGUACAGAUUAUUUAAAAAUUUUCCAAAAAAUAAAAAGACACCUACAAAAACCCACAGCCAACAUCACACUAAAUGGCAAAAGCCUAAACACACCCUCGAGCUCAUUAAGUUUUCCUUGUCUAUACAGACUCUGCUGAUAAGCCUGGCAUCUCCAGGAAUAAAACUGAUGGGCAGUCAGUAGGGCAGCUGUUCAACAGGAUGAUCAGAAAAGGGCAACAUUCAAAGAGCAGGAGUCUGGGGGCAAUUGCUUCAUCAAACAGUAAGGGUCCCAGGGUGCCUGGGUGGCUCAGUCGGUUGAGCGUCUGACUUCUGCUCAGGUCAUGAUCUCACGGUUUAUGAGUUCGGGCCCCGUGUCGGGCUCUGCGCUGACAGCUCAGAGCCUGGAGCCUGCUUCCGAUUCUGUGUCUCCUUCUCUCUCUCUUGGCCCUUCCCCUGCUCUCUCUCUCUCUCUCAAAAAUAAAUAAACAUUAACAAAAAAAAUUAAAAACAAAAGUAAGGGUCCCUUGCUCAGUUCCCAGAUCUGAGCCAAAUUUUAGAUCUGGAACCAAUGGUCUGGAGAGGAGCCCAUGACCCUCAAAGGAAGGAUCCUACAGCAUUGUAGCAGGGGUAGAUUAUAAUGCUUAUCCUAGCCCCCCGCCCCCAUUCCUGAACCUAUGGCCAUUUAUUGGGGCGACCGCGCACUGACCAGAUGUUUUUAGGACUAUUAGACAUGGCUUUUUGGGUUCACUUUAAUACCCGGACACUCCAAGCAUCAUCAUGGCCCUCCGAUUAGAGGGGGUGCGGGGGCUGAGUCCCGGCUAAGUCUGACUCACAGCGGCCCACUGCACCUUGGUCAUUGGAUGAAUGUCCCUGUUGGGUCCCUGGCCUGUGCGGUAAGAUCCUGCACUCCUAUUGGUCCUCAUCAUAGUUCUGUUUAACCCGUCAUCCUGGCCCUUGCAGAAACCAGCUGGAACAGGGGGAUGAUGAGGUUAAACUGCCGCAAGCUCAACCACACAAAAUUCCACUUCACAAAAGGAGGUCACGUAGUCCACACCUAGAGAUGCUUCCCCGGCCCGUGCACCAGGUGACAGAAGGCUGCCAGCCUUGAGCGGGGCCCAGGGCAGGAAAGCGCAGGCUGUAGCGCAAGCAGCCUUGUCGCUUGGACCAUAUGAGGUGGCUGACCCUAUGGUUGUCAUGAGCGUCAGUGGUGGGAAAGGCUGCCCCGGGAGAAUCAGGUCCCUGUGAGUCUGGUGCGAGGCCAUGGGAUCUGCAGUUGAGAAUACCACUUUGGAGAAACCACUGCUGGGCCCUGGUAGGGACCAGAAACGCCAUUUCAUCACACUGCUCCAGACCAUUUACUGAAUGACACAA